AUGAUAUAUCACUUACUCAAUACAGUAAUGCUGGCCACUGAAUUGACAUUGGAAGUAGGGUCCAGAGUGGGACGUAGGAACCGUAUAGACCUGAGACAAACACUUCCACAUGGGAGAAUACAAGCUGUUCCUCUUUCAAUCAGGACAGCAGCAGGAACGGAGGCACUCUGGUCUUUCCAGGAUAGAUAUAACCCUUCCCUGGGUCAGAAAAAUCCUCUUAAGAUGUCCACAGCUGUGAGAGAGAAGAAGUUUAAUUCUCUGAAAGAUGAGCUGUACCCCAGGAGAAUGAUUUCAGAUUUUAAAGGAAGGAGAGACCGAGGUGGAUUAUAUUCACCAUUGUGAGGAAAGCUUUUUGGACCUCAGCUCCAAGAGCACAGGGCGCCGCGUUCAAGGUUCCAUAUCAAAUGAGGUGAGCGCAGAGCUGCGGAAGUAGGGAAGAGAGAGAAUGGACCAGGCUUUGGGGAAUUGGGUUUCCAAAACUAUUGCCAGGCCCUUUCUGGGAAGGGGGAAUGAUGGCAGCUAAGACCAAUUCUAACGCAGUUGUUUUGUUUUCUCUCUUUAGUUAAGGCAGAUGGAAACCAGAAGCACUGAGAAACUGUGGGAGCUUGACACUGGAGAAAGUUGUUUGGGGCCUGAGAUGUUGGAAUAAGUUCCAUACAAGCCAAAAAAGAUUCAAGACAAAUUAGAAAGCUGUUUAUUUUGAACUAAGCCAUAAUUGGUGGAGAUUUGCUGAGACAUCCAAUUUACCUAUUUGCAUUGCUAUAUAUUAUUUAACCCUAGUACUCCUUAAUAUCAAUGCUUAAUUGUUAAUAUUAAUUACUCCUGUUUUUAUUUUAAAUGUAUAAGUUAGUUGGAAAGCAUGUGGUAGCCUCUUUGGCUUUGGUUAUUUGAUAUUUAUGGAAAAUUUUUCAUAUGAGUCAUGAGGGCAUUGCACAGUGGGUAAAACAUUGAACAGUGUGCCAGAGACCUGCAUUCUAACCCCACCACUGCCCCUUACGAGAAAGGUCACUUGGGACAAAUCCUUUACCUCUUUGAGCCUCAGUUUCUCAUGUGUAAACCUGGGAUAAGAAAAAUGUCUACCUUGCUUGGGUCACAAGGUUAUUGUGAUAGUCGAGUGAAAUAAAGUCAAAUCAAUUUAGAAGUGCCCA
rnacentral:lncRNA from 1 species